UCUUGUCAAGCUUGGUGGUGGAGCUCUUAAGGAGAGCAGCCUCUUCUCCUCUUCCUUGGGAGCAUCUUGCUGGAGACAUCUUCUGCAACUUUAGAAGUUUUUUGUUUCUCCUUGGAAGAAGGCUAGAGCUUGGGCUUGAACGAAGUUCCCUUCACUGGCUAGUGUAGAGAUCUUGUAGCGAGCCUUAGUUCGUGGGACUUGGUAAACCCGACUCUGUAGCUCGGAGCCAGGAGAAGAUCAAGUCUAGGAUCGGGGGGUGUCUAGGAGUUAUAUUUUCAGCUUUUAUCAGUAUCUAUGUAGUGCACUUUUCUGCGAGUGUAAGGCUUGUAUUCUGACUGUAUUUGUGUUUUGCAAAAACUGUUGUGUUGUCUUUCCUUUCUGUAGGGUUGCUAAAGCCCGUAAUUGUAGUAUUUCAG